CCUGUCUUAACUAUUUUUAAAUGUACAGUUCGUUAUUGUCGAGUACAUUCACAUUGUUGUACAGCCAAUCUUCAGAACUCUUAUCAUCUUGCAAAAACUGUACUCAUUAAACAACCCUCCCAUUUCCUUCUAUUGCAUGCCAGCCACCAUUGUCCUUUCUUUAUGAAUUUGACUAGUUACCUCAUGUAAGUGGAAUCAUCAGUAUUUGUCUUUUUGUGACUGGCUUAUUUCACUUAAUGUAAUGUCCUCAAGGUUCAUCCAUUACAGCAUCUGUCAGAAUUUCCUUUUUAAGGGUAAAUAAUACUUCACUUUAUGUAUAUACCAUAUUUUGUUUACAGCCAUGCAUUGCUUAAUGUUGGGGAUACAGUCUGAAAAAUGCAUCAUUAGAAUUUCUUUGGGUUGAGUUCCACGGAAGUUUGUCACUCAUUGACCUGUGUUCCUGAACUAUGAAACAUCAAUAUUUGGGCUAAGGAAUAGUUUCUCUUGAUAAAUAAAUAAGAAAUACAUGGACAGUAAGUCUUUGCUCAGUUAUUCUUACUGAUAUAAUUCAAGGCACUUGCAUCAGAACUGAUUAGAGAUUUUAACUGUGUUCAUGAACCUUAUGAAGAUAAUUUGAUUUCACUAUUAUAAAUUUCAUCAUUUUGGGACAUUUUUGAUUGCUCUGCCGUUUUGUCCAUUUCACUGAGAUACCACUAGGUGCAGUUUCUUAGUCCUAGGCCAUGGAUUUAAGGCCUGCAUGAGCCUACAUGACUGCAGUCAUCCCUUGGUAUCCACAGGGGAUUGGUUCCAGGACAUCCCCCCCCCAUACAAGAAUCCAAGGAUGCUCAAGUCCCUUAAACCUCCAUAUUGACACAUUCCCCAUCUGCAGAUUCAACCAGCAUAAUCAACACAGGACAUAAUCCUUGGGCGUCACCAUCACCGUUUGGUAGUUCUGCUCGAUCAACCACCAGACAGAUAUAAUAGAUAAUUGAAAUUUAAGGAUCUUUACUCAGUAUUGCUUUACUAAAGAGUAUGUAUAUGCAUUUGCAUUUCGGAAUAUGUAUCUAUCUAGUCCAGAAAAAACUGUUACUUAACUGGAAUUAAGUAAUGUCUACUAAUGACCAAC
rnacentral:lncRNA from 1 species